rnacentral:lncRNA from 1 species
AACUCAACUCAUCUAUUGAUAUUCAGUCAUUAGUCGAGAAUAACUCAAGUGAACUAUGGGGAAUUACAAUUCACCGUGACAAACAUGUUACAUAAUAGAUCUGUUGAGAAGUGUUGACCUACGCCAUUGUGUUAUAGAACCAAAUUAGAACCAUUUACUUGAAUUCUAAUUUCAUUCAACAAUUACAAUAAAACUAAUAUUACCGUUAAAAGUAAAUAAUUAAUUCUCUAUAAAUCAAACAGACAUAUGGAACAAUGAUGAUUAGAAUACCAACCAAAUAGCUAAGCAUCGAAAAACAAUCUACUUCAGUUUCUUGCAAUGGAUAAAUUUCUAUUUACACCUGAUCAUAAGCAGUUUACCUUGAUUGGUUUUCAUGUCUCUUUUUAUAUUUGAAUCAUUAGGCGGUAAAAUUUGGAAUUAGGAAGGGAUAGAUAAAAUCAUUUCUACUAUACGCAUUCCUAGCAACCAGUUACAAAAGAACAACCAACAAGAGUGACAUCAAUCUCCGCUUAGCCCUCUCCCACUAAACACUAAGUUCCCGUAGGCUAUAAUUAUUUUCUUUUCCUUCAAUUUAUGAUAAGUAUUUCUCCCAAUUUACACAAAAUAUCUAUACAUAAUUUUAACUUAUUAUGAGGAUUUGACUGGACAUGUGUCCAAAGAAAGAAGAGAAACAAUACGUACAUGUAUCAUACUUCUUACUUCUAAAAAUGGGAGGAUAUAUAUACUAGGUAAACAUUAAACAAGUAUUGAAUGCUAUAAACUGAUAAAAUGGAUACCACAAGAAACUGUUAUGAAUUAGUAAUACAAGUUGCAAGUAAAAUAUCAUCAUCUAACAAAAGCAGCUAGUAAAGAAACAUGAAACACUCUAGUGAGCUCAAGACUUAAAAAAUGUAUUAAAAAAAAAAAAUCGUAGAAGUCAAUUUUUAAUUUAAAAUAUAUAGCACGUAAAAUAUUCACAAUCAUCUGACCAAAUCGGCUACUCAUCUCCACAUAGUAGGAGCCAAAUAGACAAUAAAAAUAUCACGACAAUAUUAUAAAGCAAAUGCAUGAUAAGAUAAACAAUGAAAUUUCUUCCACAUUACAGCAUUGACUUUAUAAAAGCAAGAAAAUGUAAGCUGCAUUAUUAACAUAGGAACGUGAAACUACCUUUACUUCUUAAUUCAGAGAUCAUUAAGUAACAUCCAAUUUAUCUACAAGUCAAAAGACAUUUUUACUUGGAAGGGUAAACAUAAUCACCCUUAAAAAGCUAAAAAUACACGAUCCUUUAAUACAUAAUCACCACCACUAUUUUGAGUUUUUGAUGAAGAUCCCAAAAUAAAUCUCACAUUAACAGAAUAAUCAGAAUCAAUUUGGGGCCAAAAUUUGUUAGUUUGGGUGUUUAGUUAGUUAGUUCACUAUACCAGUUUUUCCCUCCUAUUUCUAUUUAUUUAAUGUAGAUGUACAGUUCAUUUUUGAGAAUAAGUUGAAUACGAGAUUUUUCAUUUCACCAAUUCUUCUUUAUCCAAUAUGGUAUUAGAGCAAUAGCUUCUUCAGCUUCGCAAUUAAUUCCAUCUGAUUUGUCAUGGCAGAGAUUACAAAUCAGAUUUAGCAAGAUCAAAAUUCAUCUUCAUCAAUGAGUCAUUCCGCCGUUGAUGAUGUUUCCAGCCCGCAUUAUCUUCACCACUUAGAUAGUCCUGGACUCAUUCUGGUCUCAUAGCAGUUGCAUGUGAGAAUUACACUUCCCGGAAUCGAGCUAAGACUAUAGUAUUAUCAGUAAAGAACAAAUUGGGUUUUGUUGAUGGAUCCAUCACUCGACCUGAAAGUAAUACUAAACUCCUUAAUUCCUGGAUCCGUAACAAUAAUAUUGUUAUUUCUUGGAUUCUCAAUUCCAUAUCAAAGGAGAUUUUAGCUAGUAUAAUCUACUCAGAAUUUGCUCAUGAGAUUUGGACCGAUCUCAAAAAGAGAUUUCAACAAAGAAAUGGUCCUCGAAUCUUUCAAUUAAGACGUGAAUUGAUGAACCAUACACAAGGACAACAAUCUGUCAGUGCUUAUUUUACCAAAUUAAAAACCAUUUGGGAAGAACUAAGUAACUAUAGACCAUCGUGUUCCUGUGGAAAAUGUAAUUAUGGAGGCAACAAGAAGUUAGCUGAGCAUUAUCGCAUGGAAUAUAUGAUGUCAUUCCUAAUGGGAUUGAAUGACUCCUAUGCCCAAGUCAGGGCACAAUUGUUGCUUAUGGAUCCAAUUCCACCAAUAAACAAGGUAUUUUCACUCAUCUCAUAGGAGGAACACCAAAGAGCCGUUAACAUGAGCACCGAAGCCACUGAUUCCUUGGCGUUCUAAGCUAAAAAUGAUGUUAGAAGGGCAGGCACGGUGCAAUCUUACAAUAAGAAUCCAAAAAAGGACAGACCGGUUUGUACAUAUUGUGGAUAUGGAGGACACGUGGUUGAUAAAUGUUACAAACUCCAUGGAUAUCCUCCAAGAUAUAAGCCAAAGUAGAAAUCUGGUCCAAGCAAUCAAGCAGGUUACAACUGUCACUCAAAUAAUGUUGUUGCUAAUCAAAUUUUUGGUUCUGUUCCAAAUCAAUCUCAUGGCAACAUUGAAGACUUCAUGCAACAUUGAGUUUUGAUCAAUGACAACAUCUAAUGAGUACGUUGAGUGCACAUCUCACCACUGCUAAAGUAGAAGAUGAAGGAAAUAAUGCAGAUCAUGUGUCAGGUAUAUGUCUAUCUGUUUCCAUUAGUCCAAUAGUCAACUCUCCUGAGCACUGGGUGUUAGAUUCAGGAGCAACUAGUCAUGUUUGUUUCAGACGUGCAUGCUUUCAAACUUUAAAAGCAGUACAAAAUGCCUACAUUACACUACCUAAUCAUGCCAGAAUACCUGUACAUUUUGUUGGAAGUGUUAAGCUUACCCCUGAUUUAGUACUUGAGGACGUGUUAUUUGUACCUCAGUUCUAGAUAAAUUUGUUAUCUAUUAGUGCAUUAACCAGAAACUCAUAUAUGAGCAUCAGGUUUCUCACUGAUCAUUGUGAUAUUCAGGACCUAUACAGCUUGAAGAUGGCUGGCAGGGGUAAAAGAAUUGGUGGUCUUUACAUCUUUGAUGCAACACGUAGUGAGAUGAAAAUUCAAUGUAAUUCCUCAAAAUCUGUUUGUAUUUUUGGUCCUAUUGUAGUGCAUAAUGUAAACUCUUACACUUAGCAUAAUAGACUCAGUCAUUUGUCCUUUAAAAGACUGGAGUAUUUGAAGGAUCAGUUGCAUUUUAAGAAUGACAUUAAAAAUGUUGAUGUCCCAUGUUCAAUUUCUCCACUUGCUAAGCAAAGGCAGUUGUCAUUUGUUUCACACAAUCACUUAUCCCCCAAUGCAUUUGAUCUUAUUCAUGGUGAUAUUUGGGGCCCCUAUAGUUCUCCAACACGUGAUGGACACAGAUAUUUUCUCACAUUAGUUGAAGAUUGUACAAGAUUUACUUGGGUUUAUCUUCUGAAGCAAAAGUCAGAUGUUCUUGCUAUCAUUCCUAAGUUUUUCAACUUGAUUGAAACACAAUUUCAGAAAGUUAUUAAAGGCUUUAGGUCUGAUAAUGCUCCUGAGUUACGUUUCAUGGAAUUUUUUAGUUCAAAGGGUGUACUCCAUCAAUUUUCAUGCAUAGAAAGACCUGAAUAGAAUUCCGUUGUUGAGAGAAAGCAGCAUCUACUUAAUGUGGCUAGGGCUAUAUUCUUCCAGUUCUGGGGAGAUUGUGUUCUCACAGCAACUUAUCUAAUCAAUCGAACUCCAUCACAAGUCAUACAAAACCAGACACCAUAUUCCUUGCUAUACAAAACCCCAGUAGACUAUGAUUUCCUCAAGGUAUUUGGAAGCCUAUGUUUUGCAUCAACCCUUACAUCUCAUCGCCUUAAAUUUCAUCCUAGAGUAAGGGCCUGUGUAUUCAUUGGUUACCAUCAUGGUAUCAAGGGAUACAAAUUGUGUGAUAUUGCUUCCAAAAUCGUCUUUAUGUCCAGAGAUGUAGUGUUCCAUGAGAACAUCUUUCCCUUCCAUACUAUCUCUACCUCUCACGAAAUCAUUGACAACUUUCCCAAUCUUGUUCUACCUAAAUCUACUCCUGAUAUACCUACUCAAGGCCUAACUAAUGAUCUUACUCCCGACUGCCCUCCACCCUCAGAGUCCAUUACAAUCUCAUCUACAACUCCAGUUCAGCAAAACCCCAGGAGAUCACUUAGGACUAGUAGAACCCCCUUCAUAUUUACAAGAUUACCAUUGUAAUCUUUUAGCUAACUCCCCUAUUUCUCAGUCUUCAUCUCAAUAUCCUUUAAGUAAUUACCUUACCUACACAAAAUCAUCUAAGUCUCAUAAUAACCUCCUCUUCAAUAACUCCUCAAACUUUGAACCUCAAUUUUACCACCAAGCUGUGAAAUAUGAUCAAUGGAAGGAUGCCAUGGCUAAUGAAUUGGAUGCAAUGGAAUUAAAUAAGACCUGGACAGUCACUAGUUUGCCUAAAGGAAAGCAUGCUAUAGGCUACAAAUGGGUGUACAAAAUCAAGUAUAAAUCUGAUGGAAGUGUUGACAGAUACAAAGCACGUUUAGUUGCUAAAGGGUACACUCAAUAGGAAAGGGUAGACUUCAUAGAAACUUUCUCCAGUUGCAAAAUUGGUGACUGUGAAACUCCUUCUUGCCAUAGCAGCUAUCAACAAGUUGCAUGUCAUUCAAUUGUAUGUCAAUAAUGCUUUUCUUCAUGGGGGAUCUCUUGGAGGAAAUCUAUAUGGAUUUAUCAUUGGGUUAUGACCCUCCCAUUCCUUCAGGCAAAUAGGGGGAGCAUUUGGUAUGUAAACUACUUAAAUCCAUAUAUGGACCAAAGCAGGUCCCACGAUAAUGGUUUUCAAAAUUUUCUCAUGCCCUCUUGUUACAUGGCUUCCACCAAUCCAAGUUCGAUUACUAUUCAUUCACUAAAGGUUGUGGCACUGAUUUUGUUGCAUUGCUUGUGUAUGCUGAUGACAUAGUCAUCACAUGUUCAAAUCUUCAAGUCAUUGAAUCUUUCAAAUCAUUCCUUCAUGGUCAGUUUAAGCUUAAAGAUCUUGGUAAGCUUAAAUAUUUUCUUGGAUUGGAGAUCGCAAGGUCACAUCGAGGAAUUGUUCUAUCACAAAGACACUAUGCUCCUUAGUUACUUGAAGACACGGUAUUUCUUGGCUGCAAGCCUGCCACAUUACCUAUGGAUCCCAAAGUUCGGCUGUGCUCCUUGAGGGGGAGCUACUAGAAGAUAGUUCUAUGUACAGAAGAUUAAUUGACCAUCUACUUUACCUAACCAUUUCCAGACCAGAUAUUAUAUUUGCUGUUCACAAACUUAGUCAGUUUGUAUCUCAACCGCGGAAGCCUCAUUUAACAGCCGUUCAUCACCUACUUCAAUACAUCAAGGGAACUCCGGGCAAAGGUCUUUUGUUCUCUGCUAAAUCAUCUUUGCAAUUGCGUGCCUUUAGUGAUGCAGAUUGGGGCUCUCAUGUCUAGACUCUAGAAAAUCUGUCACUGGUUUCUGUGUAUUUCUUGGGGACUCUAUGGUGUCUUGGAAGGCUAAAAAGCAAAGCACAGUAUCAAGAUCAUUUGCUGAAGCCGAAUAUUGUGCAUUGGCUUCUAUUGCCAGUGAACUUGCAUGGAUACAUCAAUUACUUCUUGAUUUUCACAUAAAAUCUGAGGGUCUAGCUAUGAUCUUUUGUGAUAAUCAAGCUGCUGUACAUAUUGCCAACAAUCCCAUUUUCCAUGAAAGAACCAAACACAUAAAGAUAGACUGCCACUUUCUGAGAGAUAAGAUAAAUGAUGGUUGCAUCAAGCUGCUUCCAGUUCGAAGUAAUCAUCAACUUGCUGAUAUCUUUACAAAACCGUUACCAGCAACCUCACUGUUCGAUUUAUUGUCCAAGAUGGCUGUCAUCAAUUUGCACAAUCCAUCUUGAGGGGGAGUAACAGAAUAACCGGAAUCAAUUUGGCGCCAAAAUUUGUUAGUUUGGUUGUUUAGUUAGUUAGUUCACUGUACAAGUUUUUCCCGCCUAUUUCUUUCUAUUUAAUGUAGAUGUACAGUUCAUUUUCGGGAAUAAGUUGAAUACGAGAUUUUUCAUUUCACCAAUUCUUCUUUAUCCAAUACAUAUCACAAACACAAAACACAAAUCAAUUAUCCAAAACAAAUUUACAAAUCACAUAUUGACAAAAUCAAAAAUCCAAGAGAGCAUAAAAACGACCAACACGUUACAAAAGCAAACGAAUUCACCCAUUCAAAAAUCACAAAUAACAGGUUUUCAGAUUCAUAAAUUCAUGUAUUCAUCGUUCACGAAGGCUAAAAUCAUAAUUAAUGGAACGAAGUCAGUGGACGAGAAGAAAAAUUACUAAAUCAAAACUCUUAAUGUAUUGAUCUUAUCAUUGUUUAGGGCUUCAACUGCAAUUGACGAUCAACUGUGGAGGACUGGAAACAAGUAGAAACAACAAGAGAUGGGAGCAAGCUGAAUCGUUUUCUAUUUUCCCUUUCCAAUCGUUUGCAGUUUUGCAGAUUGUGAUUUUUCCUUUCCAAUCGUUGAAUCACCGAUAGGAGGGAGUCAGCUGUGGGAUUUUCAAUUGUGGGGUUACUGGGUUUUGCUUCAACGUUAGGUAAUGAGAAGUGGGAGGUUCCUCUCGAGUACUUUUCCUUCCCAAUCGUUGAAUUGGCAGCAAAAGGGAGUCAAGGUCGGGGUUUUGAAUCGUCGGGAUAGUGGGUUUUGCUUUAGCGUGGGUAAUGCGAGGUGAUAUGUUCUCUCGUGAAUGUUGAUGCCAGGGGUUGGUUGUUUCUAUUGAACUGCUGGUUUAUCCCUAAAAUCGUGGUUUGGUUUUGGGUUUGUUAAUUUUUUAAUUUUUUUUUUUUGUUUUUCCAAAAU